GGCUCAGGAUGAACGCUGGCGGCGUGCCUAAUACAUGCAAGUCGAGCGAACGGACGAGAGUGCUUGCACUCUUUGAUGUUAGCGGCGGACGGGUGAGUAACACGUGGGUAACCUACCUAUAAGACUGGGAUAACUUCGGGAAACCGGAGCUAAUACCGGAUAAUAUUUUUCUCUGCAUGGAGGAAUAGUGAAAGACGGUUUUGCUGUCACUUAUAGAUGGACCCGCGGUGUAUUAGCUAGUUGGUGAGGUAACGGCUCACCAAGGCAACGAUACAUAGCCGACCUGAGAGGGUGAUCGGCCACACUGGGACUGAGACACGGCCCAGACUCCUACGGGAGGCAGCAGUAGGGAAUCUUCCGCAAUGGACGAAAGUCUGACGGAGCAACGCCGCGUGAGUGAAGAAGGUUUUCGGAUCGUAAAACUCUGUUGUAAGGGAAGAACAAGUACGUUAGUAACUGAACGUACCUGACG
rnacentral:rRNA from 2 species